AAGCCCAUCCAAAGGGGGUGCAGAUAAUGGACUAGAGUGUGCAUUGAAAAAUUCACUUGGGCCUGGGGGAAGCCUAGGGCCCACUGCGAAUGGAUCAGCAAUGCACGGAGGUUCUAUCCCUCAAAGCCAAUAGUUCACAGAAAAAAGAAAAAAACAAAUUAGGUCGCGGCGACGUGGACCUAACCGUGUCGGCCUAAGUCACUGGCGACGGAAAACCAGAACAAACGAUGCUACACCAUCUCCUCUCUCCUAAACAGAAUCGAAGACAAGCUCUCACCUAACGAAUCGACAUUACCGCAUGAUGGUUCUUCGACGGAAUGCACCGACGACAAUGACGAAGGCGACGGAUCGUCGGCGUCGAACUUAGGCACCUCGCUCUUUAUUCUCUCAUGAUGGUUCGGCACGUACGCUACGCGAGAAUCGGUGUGUGCGGUGGAGAUUGGAUUCGUAUUGGAUUAGAAAUUGAUUCCUCUAAUUGAUUGUAAUUGAUAACUGUAAUGGAUGAAGGUGAGGGAGUGGUGAUGGUUACGGAGUGCGGUGAUUGGUGCGGCGCGGCGUGGUGAAGGAUUGUUAGUGAUGGGAGAGGAAGAAGAAGAUUCUGGAAAAUGAAAAAAUAGCGAGAGUCAAAAGAUUCGAGAGCCUUCUUUGUUCAUAUAUUUAUAGAGCUGAGUUUGAAUUUCGGUUGCCGUUAACCGCUUUGAAACUGCGUUUUGAUUACUAUUUAUGCCGUUUACUACGUUUCUGUUAGCGUUUAGCUCUUUGACCCUUGCGUUUUGAUCCUCUUGGCUUUUCACGCGUUUGGCUUGUUGCUUGGUUUGUAGUUUGUAGGUGAUUUUUAUGUGGUAGCUUGGGUUGAUGCGCUCAUGCUGCGUUUGCGUUUGGAGAUUCUUGCAGUUAAGCUGCGUUUGCAUUCAUUUUGCAGGUGUGAAGUUAUUUGGCUUGGAUGAGUUUUGGAUGUAGUGGCUAGCACCUUGGAAACUGGCUUUGACUCCGCAGCUUUGUACUAUGUUCUGGUGCGUUCCAGGCAUUAUUAGCACGUGUGCUUGGAAGCUUCAUUCAUCGUGUUUUUCUUGCGGCUUGCGAUGCCUUCAACUGUACCGAUUUGUUGUCGUUUUCGUCCACAUGGUGGCUUGUGAGUAGCAGCAUUUGGAAUUGUUAGCGGCGGUCCGGCUUAGCAGCUUGUGUAGCGUCUUGAAGCUACGACUCUGUUCUGGUUUAUAGCUUUAGCAGCUUGUGUAGCGUCUCGAAGCUACAACUUUGUUUUGGUUUGUAGCUUUAGCAGCUUGUGUGCAGUUGUAGCUUGUACUCACGUGCGUUAGCUGGUGCGGCAACCUGUAGCUGCGUUUUGUUUUCAAUUGCAUUUCCACUGCA